CCUACGGGCGGCAGCAGUGGGGAAUAUUGCACAAUGGGGGAAACCCUGAUGCAGCGACGCCGCGUGAGUGAAGAAGGAUUUCGGUAUUUAAAGCUCUAUCAGCAGGGAAGAAAAUGACGGUACCUUAUUAAGAAGCCCCGGCUAACUACGUGACAGCAGCCGCGGUAAUACGUAGGGGGCAAGCGUUAUCCGGAUUUACUGGGUGUAAAGGGAGCGUAGACGGUGAUGCAAGUCAGAAGUGAAAGCUCGGGGCUCAACUCCGGGAUUGCUUUUGAAACUGUGUGACUGGAGUGCAGGAGAGGUAAGCGGAAUUCCUGGUGUAGCGGUGAAAUGCGUAGAUAUCAGGAGGAACACCAGUGGCGAAGGCGGCUUACUGGACUGUAACUGACGUUGAGGCUCGAAAGCGUGGGGAGCAAACAGGAUUAGAUACCCCAGUAGUC
rnacentral:rRNA from 1 species